rnacentral:rRNA from 1 species
CCUACGGGUGGCUGCAGUCGAGAAUCAUUCACAAUGGGGGAAACCCUGAUGGUGCGACGCCGCGUGGGGGAAUGAAGGUCUUCGGAUUGUAAACCCCUGUCAUGUGGGAGCAAAUUAGAAAGCGAGUACCACAAGAGGAAUAGACGUCGAACUCUGUGCCAGCAGCUGCGGUAAUACAGCGGUCCCAAGAGUUGUUGGGAAUCACUGGGCGUAAAGCGUGCGUAGGCGGUUUCGUAAGUCGUGUGUGAAAGGUGCGGGCUCAACGCGCGGACGGCACAUGAUACUGUGAGCCUAGAGAGAUGGAGGGGGAGCCGGAAUGCACGGUGUAGCAGUGAAAUGCGUAGAUAUCG